rnacentral:rRNA from 1 species
GACGAACGCUGGCGGCGUGCUUAACACAUGCAAGUCGAACGGAAAGGCCCUGCUUUUGUGGGGUGCUCGAGUGGCGAACGGGUGAGUAACACGUGAGUAACCUGCCCUUGACUUUGGGAUAACUUCAGGAAACUGGGGCUAAUACCGGAUAGGAGCUCCUGCUGCAUGGUGGGGGUUGGAAAGUUUCGGCGGUUGGGGAUGGACUCGCGGCUUAUCAGCUUGUUGGUGGGGUAGUGGCUUACCAAGGCUUUGACGGGUAGCCGGCCUGAGAGGGUGACCGGCCACAUUGGGACUGAGAUACGGCCCAGACUCCUACGGGAGGCAGCAGUGGGGAAUAUUGCACAAUGGGUGGAAGCCUGAUGCAGCAACGCCGUGUGCGGGAUGACGGCCUUCGGGUUGUAAACCGCUUUCGCUCAUGACGAAGCUUUGUGUGACGGUAGUGGGUAAAGAAGCACCGGCUAACUACGUGC